rnacentral:rRNA from 1 species
AUGGAGGUGGGGUGGGCGUUCAAGAAGAAAGGGGAAGAGUGGAGGUCGGCGCUGCAGGAAAGCGGGGCAGAGCACAGUUAUUCUCUGGCCGUGGAGUAUUCUGGGCAGGUUACUUCCCUUGUGGAUCUAGCGGAUCUGGAAGAAGGGUUGACCAACAGAAGCAUCUACGAUUCUAGAUUUUCUUCCACUUCCUUCCCAACAGAGGAGGAGGUGCUUGGGCAGCAUGGAAGUGUCUUCUUCGAUUCAACCAAAGGUUUAUGGGAGUGUCGGCACUGCGAUUGGACACACCGAUUGAUUAGUCCGUGCAGAAAUGUCGAUUUCCCAUAUUAUCAAAGGUGCGGCCAAGUUACGAUGGAGGCCCCCUUUGGCAUGGGAUCCCUUCUUGGGAAGCUCGGUAUGCUGCUAGCUCCUCAGGGGUGUAGGCUGCCGAGCCGGGUUAAGGACAGAAUGCACCUCCUCAAAGAAGAUGUUGAAGAUUUAAGCGAGUACCUUGCUGAAAUGGCAGAGGCAGAGGACCUUCCCCUGACGGCCAAGCGCUGGAUGAAAGAGGCGCGAGAGCUGGCCUAUGACAUCGAGGAUAACAUGGACAUGUGUGUGCAGCCUGCCCGUGCCAGCAUCAAUACUACCAGGUUCAUCUGCAAAAUUGGCCGCCAUGUUAAGAUCCCCAAAAGGCUCUUCUCCAAAAGAAGGCUUCCCAAGGGACUCAAGUGGCACAAACAGAUUGCCUACAUAGCUCAAGUGCCAGCAGAACAUAGUGGGAAGAUCAGAUCAGCCUGCAAAGCCAUUCGUGUUGUCAUCAUUCGUCUUCCCAAGAGGCUCAAGUGGUACAAGCAUAUCAUGGAACUCAUAUCAGAUUUCAGGAUGUACAUCCAAGAAGCGAUUGAACGGCAUGAGAGGUAUGAGCUCCACCGCUGCAGCACCUUCAGGCGUAGAUUUUUACCCGCCGAUCGCACGCUUCUGACUGCGUACGGAGGAAUUGCUGACAUGGUAAUUGAUGAUCGGGUGAGCGAGUUCAUCGACUCAUUGGAUAAUGAUGGGGAUCAACAGCUCAAGGUGGUAUCCGUUCUUGGACCUGGAUGUCUUGGUAAAACUGCACUUGCACAAGUGUUGUACAACAAAUUUGGGGGGCAAUUUGAUUGUACAGCUUUUGUCCGGGUGUCCAAAAGGCCUGAUGUGGUGAGACUUCUCCGCGAGAUGCUCAUGCAAGUCCAGGGGCAGCAACCCACUGAGUAUUCCGAGGAACUUGACCUUGCUUACAGUAUCAGGGAACAUCUACAAGAUAAAAGGUACUUAAUUAUUAUUGAUGAUAUAUGGACUGCAUCAGCAUGGGAUAUUAUUAGUGAUGCUUUUCCAAAAGGUAAUCAUGGUAGCAGAGUUAUAACAACUACACAAAUGGAAGAGGUUGCAUUAACAUGUUGUUGUUAUCACUCGGAGCAUAUUUUUGAGAUGAGGCCUCUGGAUCAUGAUCACUCAAGAAAGCUGUUCUUUAGCAUACUUUUUGGCUCUGAAAGUGACUGUCCUAAAGAACUCAAAGAAGUUACAAACAAAAUUUUUGAAUUAUGUGGUGGUUUGCCGCUAGCAACAAUCAGCAUAGCUAGUCUAUUAUCAAGCCAGCCUGUUAUAAAAAUGGAUCUUUUGACGCACCUCUGUGAUUCGUUAAGCUCCUGUUUGUGGAUAUCUCCUUCAGAAGGAACAAGACAAGCAUUGAACCUCAGCUACAAUAAUCUUCCUCACUAUUUGAAGAUAUGCCUGCUGUGUCUGAAUAUGUAUCCAGAGGGCCACACAAUCUGGAAGGACGAUUUGGUGAAGCAAUGGGUCGCUGAAGGUUUCAUCCAUACAACAGAAGGGCAAGACAUGGAGAAAGUUGCAGCAAGCUAUUUCAAUGAACUUAUUAAUAGAAGAUUCAUCCAAACUCUAUGUAGCAAGUACAACAAUGAGGUGUUGUCCUGUACUGUUCAUGAUGUGGUACAUGAUCUUAUUGCAGACAAGUGUUCAGAAGAAAAUUUCAAUAUGGUAAUAGAUUCUAGUCGAAGGAAUGUGGCACUUCCUCAAAAGGUUCGACGACUAUCUCUCCUCUUUGGUGAUGCAAAAUAUGUGAAGACACCAGCAAACAUGAGAAGGUCACAAGUUCGGUCGCUUACCAUUUUUGGAUUAUUUGAGAGUAUGCCUUCUAUUUCAGAGUUUAAGCUUCUUCGCGUGCUAAACCUUCAAUUAUCCAGUUAUGGUGAUAGGAACGCCAUAAACCUCACUGGCAUUUCAGAUCUGUUCCAACUGAGAUAUUUAAAAAUUGCAUGUGAUAUCUGCAUACAAUUACCAAACCAUAUGCUAGGGCUACAAUGUUUGGAAACACUAGUUCUGGAUAGUGAAGUUAUUGCUGUUCCAUGGGAUAUUAUUCAUCUCCCAAGCUUGUUGCACCUGAGUCUGCUUGUUAUGACAAAUCUGUUGGAUUGGAUUGGCAGCAUGAGGUUAAUUGGCAAGCUGAACAACCUGCGAGAUCUUCAUCUGACCUAUUCUGUACCGUCUUCAGACCAUCUGAAGAGAAGCAUGGAAGCUCUGGGCUCUCAACUCUCAGGACAUGCCAACCUAAAAACUCUAGCUCUGGUUAAUGGCCCCUGCCAUAAAAAUGCUUUUGUUUGCGAUGCUUUAAAAGUGACAGUCUCCUGGGAGGGCUUAGUACCUCCCCCAGUUCUUGAGGUGUUUGAGUGGUCGCUACACAGCUGUGUAUUAUCCCGUAUUCCAAAGUGGAUCGGAGAACUUGGCAAGCUCCGCAUCUUGAAGAUUGCAGUAAGGGAUCUUCCAAGGGAUGGUAUUGAUGCUGUCAGAGGUUUGCCUGCCCUCACUGCUCUGUCGUUGUAUUUGCAGACGGCUACUGUUGAAAGGAUUGUCUUUGACAAGGUGGGGUUCUCAGUCCUCAACUACUUCAAUCUCAGGUGCAGUGUACCUUGCCUGAAAUUUGAAGCGAACGCAAUGCCUAAUCUUCGGAAGCUCAAGCUAGGUUUUAAUGCCCCCAGAGCCCGCAUGGACCAGCAUGGUGCUGGUACGGCUAUCAGCAUCGACCACUUGCCAAGCCUUAAAGAGAUCUGUGCAAAAAUCGGAGGUGCAUGUGCUGAUACAGAGUCUGCCUUAGCAACUGCCAUUAGCAAUCAUCCGAGCAAUCCUAUGAUCAAUGUGCAAUUGGUGGAUUAUACUUUUGAGGGUGAUGAGCUUACACAUGAACAAGAUGAGGUCCUGGUGGAAGGCCAAGAUGGAUACUUGAAGAAGCUACUGAUAUCUUGUGCUAGAGCUGUGGAAGCAAAGGACAUGUCCGCGGUAGACAUGAUGGUGCCAGAGUUGAGGAAAAUGGUUUCAGUAUCUGGUGACCCACAUCAGAGACUUGGAGCCUACAUUGUGGAAGGACUUGUUGCCAGGCUUGCCUCCUCCGGCCACUCGAUCUACAAAGCUCUGAAGUGCAAAGAGCCAAGGAGUUCUGACCUCAUGUCCUACAUGCAUUUCCUGUAUGAGGCCUGCCCUUACUUCAAGUUUGGCUACAUGUCGGCAAACGGUGCAAUUGCAGAGGCUGUAAAGGGUGAAGAUAUGAUCCAUAUAAUCGACUUUGGUAUCUCUCAAGGAGCUCAAUGGAUUUCUCUCCUUCAGGCUCUUGCGACCAGGCCCGGUGGACCACCAACUGUAAGGAUCACAGGAAUUGAUGAUUCACUAUCAGCCUAUGCGCGAGGUGGUGGGCUCGAUUUAGUCGGGAGGAGGCUGUCACACAUCGCUGGUCUGUGCAAGGUUCCCUUUGAAUUCCAUUCGGUUGCUGUCGCUGGUGAUGAAGUGGAAGAGGGGCAUCUCAUGGUCAUCCCUGGGGAAGCUCUCGCAGUGAACUUCACCCUGGAGCUGCACCACAUUCCGGAUGAGGCUGUGAGCACGGCAAACCACCGAGACCGGAUCCUAAGGCUGGUGAAAAGCUUGUCUCCCAAGGUGGUAACCCUUGUGGAGCAGGAGCUCAACACGAACACGGUCCCCUUCAAGCAGAGGUUUGCAGAGACGCUUCACUACUACACUGCCAUAUUCGAGUCCAUCGACCUGACGCUACCAAGGGACGACGAGAGGAUCAACAUGGAGCAGCACUGCCUGGCGAGGGAGAUUGUGAACAUCGUUGCCUGCGAGGGUGCGGAGAGGGUGGAGCGGCACGAGGUCUUCGGCAAGUGGAAGGGGCGCCUCACGAUGGUCGGCUUUAGGCCCCGGCCGCUCAGCUCGCUGGUGAACGCCAGCAUCAGGACGCUGCUGCAGAGCUACUCGGCAAACUACCAGCUUGCGGAGAAGGACGGGGUGCUAUACCUCGGAUGGAAGAAUAAGCCCCUGGUGGUUUCGUCCGCAUGGCACUAG